UCGGUUUUUAAAAAUUAUUUUUUUAUUAAAUAUGUUUUUAUGUCACAUUCUCUGUAUAUAUGUUCGAUCCAGUCACUUAAGCAACACUCUACAUUUUCUUUUCAUUUCUCCCAAUUUCAGGGUAAGACAAAACUACUUGAACUGAUGCACAAUCACAUAGUGUCCACUUCUCAGUUGAGUGCCAGCUUCAUUGUGUCGAAUCUUCGUGCUGUGACCUUGGCGGACCAGGUCCUGACAUUUAAUGUAACAACUGCUGGGUAGAUCCUGGUCAAUGGGGAGUCUGUUCUAGAGCUGGAUGUUGAAGUAAAGACUUGCCGUCUUCAUUCAGUGGAGGGGCUUCUAAUCCCUCCGUCCAUAGAGCCCACCAUACCUCACAGGUGUGACAUCAAAGAAACCAGUGUACUAAAUGUGUUCACAAAAUCAGAGGAAACAUUUGAGCUAAAUAUUGGGGGUACAAAAUGACCAAGAUAUAAUUGAGAAAGAUUGGAGUCAUCCAUAGAAUGCAGUUGGAGUAAUGGCAAUGUACAUUUACUUCAUUUGUUUCAAGAAUGCAUGUUACUGCAAGCUA